rnacentral:rRNA from 1 species
UACGUAGGGUGCGAGCGUUGUCCGGAAUUAUUGGGCGUAAAGGCUCGUAGGCGGUUUGUCGCGUCGGGAGUGAAUCCACUGGCUUAACUGGUGGCUUGCUUCGAUACGGGCAGACUGGAGGUAUGCAGGGGAGAACGGAAUUCCUGGUGUAGCGGUGAAAUGCGCAGAUAUCAGGAGGAACACCGGUGGCGAAGGCGGUUCUCUGGGCAUGUCCUGACGCUGAGGAGCGAAAGUGCGGGAGCGAACGGG